AACGAACGCUGGCGGCAGGCUUAACACAUGCAAGUCGAGCGCCCCGCAAGGGGAGCGGCAGAUGGGUGAGUAACGCGUGGGAAUCUACCCAUCUCUACGGAAUAACGCAUGGAAACGUGUGCUAAUACCGUAUACGUCCUUCGGGAGAAAGAUUUAUCGGAGAUGGAUGAGCCCGCGUUGGAUUAGCUAGUUGGUGGGGUAAAGGCCUACCAAGUCGACGAUCAAUAGCUGGUCUGAGAGGAUGAUCAGCCACACUGGGACUGAGACACGGCCCAGACUCCUACGGGAGGCAGCAGUGGGGAAUAUUGGACACUGGGCGCAAGCCUGAUCCAGCCAUGCCGCGUGAGUGAUGAAGGCCCUAGGGUUGUAAAGCUCUUUCACCGGUGAAGAUAAUGACGGUAACCGGAGAAGAAGCCCCGGCUAACUUCGUGCCAGCAGCCGCCGCGGUAA
rnacentral:rRNA from 1 species